GAUGAGCUCGCGUCUGAUUAGCUAGUAGGUGUGGUAAAGGCGCACCUAGGCGACGAUCAGUAACUGGUCUGAGAGGAUGACCGGUCACACUGGAACUGAGACACGGUCCAGACUCCUACGGGAGGCAGCAGUGGGGAAUUUUCCGCAAUGGGCGAAAGCCUGACGGAGCAAUACCGCGUGAGGGAGGAAGGCUCUUGGGUUGUAAACCUCUUUUCUCAGGGAAUAAUUCAAUGAAGGUACCUGAGGAAUAAGCAUCGGCUAACUCCGUGCCAGCAGCCGCGGUAAUACGGAGGAUGCAAGCGUUAUCCGGAAUGAUUGGGCGUAAAGCGUCCGCAGGUGGUGUUGUAAGUCUGUUGUUAAAGCGUGCGGCUUAACCGCAUACAGGCGAUGGAAACUACAAAACUAGAGUGCGUUAGGGGUAGAGGGAAUUCCUGGUGUAGCGGUGAAAUGCGUAGA
rnacentral:rRNA from 1 species